rnacentral:rRNA from 1 species
GAUGAACGCUGGCGGCGUGCCUAAUACAUGCAAGUCGAGCGAACGGACGAGAAGCUUGCUUCUCUGAUGUUAGCGGCGGACGGGUGAGUAACACGUGGAUAACCUACCUAUAAGACUGGGAUAACUUCGGGAAACCGUAGCUAAUACCGGAUAAUAUUUUGAACCGCAUGGUUCAAAAGUGAAAGACGGUCUUGCUGUCACUUAUAGAUGGAUCCGCGCUGCAUUAGCUAGUUGGUAAGGUAACGGCGUACCAAGGCAACGAUGCAUAGCCGACCUGAGAGGGGGAGAAGCCACACCGGGGAAGAGAAACGGGCGCCAGGCCCCCAGGGGGGAGCAGUGGGGGAAAUUGUCCGAAGGGGGAGAGAGCCUGGCGGAAAAGCGGCGCGAGGGUGGAAGAGCUCUGGGGAGCGAAAAACUCGUUUUUGGAGAAAAAACAUAUGUGGAAAAAAGUUGCCGCAGCUGAAGGGUACCUAAAAGGAAAGCCCGGGCAAACCACGG